UACGUAGGUGGCGAGCGUUAUCCGGAAUGAUUGGGUUUAAAGGGUGCGUAGGCGGACUGUCAAGUCAGCGGUAAAAUUGAGAGGCUCAACCUCUUCCCGCCGUUGAAACUGGUGGUCCUGAGUGGAUGAGAAGUACGCGGAAUGCGUGGUGUAGCGGUGAAAUGCAUAGAUAUCACGCAGAACUCCGAUUGCGAAGGCAGCGUACCGGCAUCCAACUGACGCUGAGGCACGAAAGCGUGGGGAUCAAACAGG
rnacentral:rRNA from 1 species